GUGAACGCUGGCGGUAGGCCUAACCCCUGCCAGUCGAACGGCAGCACCGUAAGAGCUUGCUCUUACGGGUGGCGAGUGGCGGACGGGUGAGGAAUACAUCGGAAUCUACUUUUUCGUGGGGGAUAACGUAGGGAAACUUACGCUAAUACCGCAUACGACCUACGGGUGAAAGCAGGGGAUCUUCGGACCUUGCGCGAUUGAAUGAGCCGAUGUCGGAUUAGCUAGUUGGCGGGGUAAAGGCCCACCAAGGCGACGAUCCGUAGCUGGUCUGAGAGGAUGAUCAGCCACACUGGAACUGAGACACGGUCCAGACUCCUACGGGAGGCAGCAGUGGGGAAUAUUGGACAAUGGGCGCAAGCCUGAUCCAGCCAUACCGCGUGGGUGAAGAAGGCCUUCGGGUUGUAAAGCCCUUUUGUUGGGAAGGAAAAGCAGCAGGUUAAUACCCCGCUGUUCUGACGGUACCCAAAGAAUAAGCACCGGCUAACUUCGUG
rnacentral:rRNA from 1 species